AACUGAUUUUAUGUUAAAAACAGACUUUUCUACUUUAUUAAAGGAAGUGUGACAUAGUGUGAAUCUGUGUCUAGCUAUCUAUGGAAAUUUCACUAAUAGAAAUUUUAAAAAAUGAAAGAAGUUCGACUGGUCUUCUGUACGGAGGAAUUGACAAGGUAAUAAUGGCAGUUGUGUAG
rnacentral:lncRNA from 1 species